rnacentral:rRNA from 1 species
GGAGUUAGCCGGUGCUUCUUCUGCGAGUAACGUCACAGAUGUAAGGUAUUAACUUACACCCUUUCCUCCUCGCUGAAAGUGCUUUACAACCCGAAGGCCUUCUUCACACACGCGGCAUGGCUGCAUCAGGGUUUCCCCCAUUGUGCAAUAUUCCCCACUGCUGCCUCCCGUAGGAGUCUGGGCCGUGUCUCAGUCCCAGUGUGGCUGAUCAUCCUCUCAGACCAGCUAGGGAUCGUCGCCUAGGUGAGCCUUUACCUCACCUACUAGCUAAUCCCACCUGGGCUUAUCCAUCAGCGCAAGGCCCGAAGGUCCCCUGCUUUCCCCCGUAGGGCGUAUGCGGUAUUAGCAGUCGUUUCCAACUGUUAUCCCCCACAAUGGGCAAACUUCCCAGGCAUUACUCACCCGUCCGCCGCUCGUCAUCUUCAAAGCAAGCUUUUAGAAUGUUACCGCUCGACUUGCAUGUGUUAGGCCUGCCGCCAGCGUUCAAUCUGAACCAAGAUCAAACUCUGA